rnacentral:rRNA from 1 species
AUGAACGCUGGCGGCGUGCCUAAUCCCUGCAAGUCGAGCGCACAGAUGAGGAGCUUGCUCCUCUGACGUUAGCGGCGGACGGGUGAGUAACACGUGGAUAACCUACCUAUAAGACUGGGAUAACUUCGGGAAACCGGAGCUAAUACCGGAUAAUAUAUUGAACCGCAUGGUUCAAUAGUGAAAGACGGUUUUGCUGUCACUUAUAGAUGGAUCCGCGCCGCAUUAGCUAGUUGGUAAGGUAACGGCUUACCAAGGCAACGAUGCGUAGCCGACCUGAGAGGGUGAUCGGCCACACUGGAACUGAGACACGGUCCAGACUCCUACGGGAGGCAGCAGUAGGGAAUCUUCCGCAAUGGGCGAAAGCUUGACGGAGCAACGCCGCGUGAGUGAUGAAGGUCUUCGGAUCGUAAAACUCUGUUAUUAGGGAAGAACAAAUGUGUAAGUAACUAUGCACGUCUUGACGGUACCUAAUCAGAAAGCCACGGCUAACUACGUG